GGACGAACGCUGGCGGCGUGCCUAACACAUGCAAGUCGAGCGAGAAGCCUGUGAACGAGCCUUCGGGUGAGUGAUCAGGUGGAAAGCGGCGGACGGGUGAGUAACGCGUGAGUAAUCUGCCUCAGGAGGGGGAUAACACAGAGAAAUCUGUGCUAAUACCGCAUAACAUAUUGAGAUCACAUGUUCUUGAUAUCAAAACUCCGGUGCCCUGAGAUGAGCUCGCGUCCGAUUAGCUAGUUGGCGGGGUAAUGGCCCACCAAGGCGACGAUCGGUAGCCGGACUGAGAGGUUGAACGGCCACAUUGGGACUGAGACACGGCCCAGACUCCUACGGGAGGCAGCAGUGGGGGAUAUUGCGCAAUGGGGGAAACCCUGACGCAGCAACGCCGCGUGAAGGAAGAAGGUCUUCGGAUUGUAAACUUUUGUCUUUUGGGACGAAAACUGACGGUACCAAAGGAGGAAGCCACGGCUAACUACGUG
rnacentral:rRNA from 1 species